UACAGAGGUCCCAAGCGUUGUUCGGAUUCACUGGGCGUAAAGGGUGCGUAGGUGGUCAGGUAAGUCGGAUGUGAAAUCUCGGAGCUUAACUCCGAAACUGCAUUCGAUACUGCGGUGCUUGAGGACUGGAGAGGAGACUGGAAUUCAUGGUGUAGCAGUGAAAUGCGUAGAGAUCAUGAGGAAGACCAGUGGCGAAGGCGGGUCUCUGGACAGUUCCUGACACUGAGGCACGAAGGCCAGGGGAGCAAACGGG
rnacentral:rRNA from 1 species